rnacentral:lncRNA from 1 species
UAAUUGCUGAUCAUCUUGAUAUCAUGCUUCAUUCUCAUGCUAGUGAUAAUUGUUUCAUGGUGUGAUUAAAUUGAAGUUUACUUUUUCCUAUAUAAUGCAUAACCAUGAAAUACACAAGUUUAUGCCUCAAAUCUCUAAUUCAAAAUAACUUGUGAUAAGCUAUGAAUCAUUGGGCAUAAUGAAAAUGCUGUUUGCAUGAUAUACAUUUAUAUGCAGCAUAUUAGAUUAAUUUUUUAUUCUGCUCUUUCAUGUAAUUACUUGAAAAUAACAAAAAGAGAGAGAUAAAGAAAAAGAAAAUGAACAUUGUUCGGGAGAAGUAAAAGCUAAGUAAAUACUCCAAUCUUAAGAAAAAGCAGAGCAAGCAUAAUAUAUUCAGCAUAUUUGUGAGACUUGUGUGAGCAUUCUUUUGGAAGGGAUAAAAUUCGUAAUUAAUUAUAUUUAAACAGGAAGAGUUUGGAGUGAAUAUUUUUUUAAAAGGGAACGGUUUAACCUUUCUAUAUUGCUCAUUAU